rnacentral:rRNA from 1 species
GAUGAACGCUGGCGGCGUGCCUAAUACAUGCAAGUCGAGCGAACAGACGAGGAGCUUGCUCCUCUGACGUUAGCGGCGGACGGGUGAGUAACACGUGGAUAACCUACCUAUAAGACUGGGAUAACUUCGGGAAACCGGAGCUAAUACCGGAUAAUAUAUUGAACCGCAUGGUUCAAUAGUGAAAGACGGUUUUGCUGUCACUUAUAGAUGGAUCCGCGCCGCAUUAGCUAGUUGGUAAGGUAACGGCUUACCAAGGCGACGAUGCGUAGCCGACCUGAGAGGGUGAUCGGCCACACUGGAACUGAGACACGGUCCAGACUCCUACGGGAGGCAGCAGUAGGGAAUCUUCCGCAAUGGGCGAAAGCCUGACGGAGCAACGCCGCGUGAGUGAUGAAGGUCUUCGGAUCGUAAAACUCUGUUAUUAGGGAAGAACAAAUGUGUAAGUAACGAUGCACGCCUUGACGGUACCUAAUCAGAAAGCCACGGCUAACUACGU